UACGAAGGGGGCUAGCGUUGUUCGGAAUUACUGGGCGUAAAGCGCACGUAGGCGGCUUUGUAAGUUAGAGGUGAAAGCCCGGGGCUCAACCCCGGAAUUGCCUUUAAGACUGCAUCGCUUGAAUCCAGGAGAGGUGAGUGGAAUUCCGAGUGUAGAGGUGAAAUUCGUAGAUAUUCGGAAGAACACCAGUGGCGAAGGCGGCUCACUGGACUGGUAUUGACGCUGAGGUGCGAAAGCGUGGGGAGCAAACAGG
rnacentral:rRNA from 1 species